rnacentral:rRNA from 1 species
UACGUAGGGUGCGAGCGUUGUCCGGAAUUAUUGGGCGUAAAGGGCUCGUAGGCGGUUUGUCGCGUCGGGAGUGAAAACACUGGGCUUAACUCAGUGCUUGCUUUCGAUACGGGCAGACUAGAGGUAUGCAGGGGAGAACGGAAUUCCUGGUGUAGCGGUGAAAUGCGCAGAUAUCAGGAGGAACACCGGUGGCGAAGGCGGGUCUCUGGGCAGUAACUGACGCUGAGGAGCGAAAGCGUGGGGAGCGAACAGG